GAUGAACGCUGGCGGCGUGCCUAACACAUGCAAGUCGAACGGAGUCCAGCCUUUAAGACCUUCGGGUCAAAGAGGGGAAGACUGAGUGGCGGACGGGUGAGUAACACGUGGGCAACCUGGCUCAUAGAGGGGGAUAACAGAGAGAAAUUUCUGCUAAUACCGCAUAAGCACACACUGCCGCAUGGCAGAGGGUGAAAAGAGAAUCGCUAUGAGAUGGACCCGCGUCUGAUUAGCCAGUUGGCAGGGUAAGAGCCUACCAAAGCGACGAUCAGUAGCCGAUCUGAGAGGAGGAACGGCAACAUUGGGACUGAGACACGGCCCAAACUCCUACGGGAGGCAGCAGGGGGGGAUAUGGAACAAUGGGGGGACCCUGAUGCAGCGACGCCGCGUGAGUGAAGAAGUAUUUCGGUAUGUAAAGCUCUAUCAGCAGGGAAGAUAAUGACAGUACCUGAAUAAGAAGCCCCGGCUAACUACGUG
rnacentral:rRNA from 1 species